UGUGGUCGUUAUCCCAUUCAUUUGGUAUACUGCAAUUUACAUGAAGAUAUAUAUAUACACACGUUUUCUCUUUUGUUGUUUUUGUUUGUUUCUGGGUUUCGAUUUUUGGUAUAUUUAAUUUUGCCGUCCACUCUACUACGUUACACUUUCUCAAAUUGAUUUUCUUUUUUUGAAAUAUUUGUUAAUUUACAGAUAAAUCAUAAAUCCACUUGCAGUUGAAUUAUGUUUAUGAUAAUGUGAUUGAAAAACCAUUGUAGGAUUGGUUCUUUCUUGACUAUAGAGGAAAAUGUGAUUGAUAAACCAUGAUUGCUUUUAGUUAUCCCCCAAUUCAAUACAUUACUUAUUUGGAGGAACUGGCUGAAUUUACCCUGUUGUUUUGUUAUUUGAUCACUGAAUGCAUAAAAGCACACCAGAACCAGGCGUACUAAGGAUCUAGAUUUCCUUUGUUUGUUCCAAGUGCAACCCCCAAUUUUUUGAGCAAGAGAUAAAGGAUGGAUCGGUGGAAAGCUGCACGCAUGUGAACUGGCGAAUUGAUUGUCGGUACUUCUUAUAUGGGAUUCCCUUAUCUUGUCCUCAAUUAGUGGUGCCCCUAGCUUCUAAGGUUGCAUUCAUUCCUUUUUGUUUUUUUGUUUUUUUUUUUCUAAUUCUAUUCUUUGUCAUCAUCCCUGUCAUCCAUACGAACAUCCUCAUUUUGGAUUUUUUUUUUUGACUUCCUACAGUUUAGCAUAAUAAUGUGUGACCAUAAGGGUGUUAUGAACCUUUCGUAUUGUACUUGACAGUGAUGUACUAUCCACAAGAUAGUGUUGCGACUUAAAUAUUCCCUUUAACUUGAUUGGCAUUAAUCACUAAUUUUCAUUGUUCUUUCACUUCUCUUAGUUUUUGCGAAAUUAAGUCAAAUAUAUUUUGCCCUAGUUCUUAUUCUGAAACCCUUGGAUUCCAAAGCAUCUAAAGAUAGUUUAAUUAACCUUGGUGCUAGUUUAUUUCACGGAGGCAUGCCAUUAGUAGAUAAUACACCCGAACGGGCUUUUCCUUAACUAUGCUUGGUAAAUUCAUCCACACCCAAUACAAGAAAUUAAAUGAGAUUAGUGCUUAUCCUUAUAAAAGCUCGUUAUGAUUAGAAAUUCACUUUUCUCUGCUCCAAUUAUUUGCAUCCAUAAAUGUCCUGAUCAAGUUGAUAUAUUUAGUUGAUAUUUGUUUGUUUUAUAAGGCCUGCCAUACUAUCUCUAACAACUCAUACUCAAUGUUGAAUCUCUUUGAAAUGAGAUCAAAUUGAUUCUUUGAUACACCUGCAUAUCAUCUCUUUAUAUGUACUUAUCACUCUGUAAAGAUUCAUUAAAUGAAAAACAAGUUUGGUACCAUGAGAGUUGUGAUUUUCAAAUUUCAAUACCACCUUUGUUCUUAUAUACCACCAAAGUACUUCUUUUCCUCUUUAUUCAUGAGUUAAUCAUGUUGUUGGCAGCAUUAGUGUGUAGAUGAUGGCAUGACUUGUUAGUGGUUGUGGUGAUGGUGACAGGUCACUGCAGGUGGAAGACUAACAGGUGUUUGUACUUCUGCAUACAUAUUACAUGUUAUGUAUACUUCAAUUUUCUAAUAUUGUGGCUCUAAAGCCAUAUCUAUGUUAGUACUUCCCAAAAUCUUAUUGUAAUUCAUGUUCUGCAACCAACUCUCACUUAUCUUAAAUCAAUAUCGAUAUCUAUAUUGACACAAUAUUAUCAUAAAUAUUUUUGUGGAUAUGGAACCUUGAUAUUUCCUUUAACAUUGAUGGUUAGGUAUUUAGUGGGGAGGUGUUGCUAGACGAUCUAGGGGAUGAAAUAAUAACAUGGUGGUCAAUAAGGUAGUAGUAAUGAUAGGUUUCCAUUUCCAAAGGCAGUGGUAAUGGUGAACUAUGUUUUGAUAAAAUCUCUUUCCAUAAUAAUUUGCAUCCCCUGUUUAACUAAAAUCAAAUUCCUGAAUUUUCAGCAAAACUCCAAUUGGGAAUUUUGCCUUAACCACAAGAGCUAUUAGAUUAUAAACAUGUUCAAGGAGUUCUAAUGGAAGAGAACAUGCAUUGAUUAGGUUAUAAUAUUCAAGUUUAGACUCUGUUGUUUGCCUAUAUUAGGAUAUUAUUAAUAAAACAUGGUAGAAUACUUGACUAAGAUCUGUGAUCUCUUUUCAUGAAGUAGUGCCUUCUUCUUUAGUCUCUAAUGUAUUGAUAAAAUGACUUUAUUGGCCUCUUUGGGAAAGUGGAUGAUGUUUUAAUUCUGUUUCGAGGAGAAAAGGGAGUUCAGGUAGUCAUCCACCUAUUUUUUUUUUUUUUUUGCAGCAUUAGUUAAUUGCAAAAUAUUGUCCUAUAUGAAUGCUAAUGGCUUGACUUUAAGGCUAUAUUAGCCACUGGAAUAUGCACUUCACAACAUUUAUGUCCAACCAAACCUGAUCUUAAUUAAUAUACAUGUUCAAUAGCUGUACAUGCACAAUGUUGGCCUGUCCUUCUGUACUAGAAUAAUGCAUUUGUCAUUGAUAUUCCUCUUGUCGAAGGAUUUUUAAUUUGUGGCUGGCUAGAAACAGAAAUGCUGAUCUUAUUUUGGGUUCAGGGAAUAGUGUUUGUGGGCAUCAAGUUAGGACCAGAUCCAUGUGAGUAAGCUCCUGAAUGACACUUUGUCAUCUAUAAUUGUGAUGCAUAUUUACAAGCUGACCAGAAAAACAAUACCAGAAUGGAUGAACAGUCUUUCUAAGAUACACAUUUUAUGUUUUAUCAAAUAAUGGGUCAGAUGACUGCUGUGGUUGACCUGAUGCUAUACAUAUAUACAUCUCUGGUUUCUAUUGUUGUUUUUUUGAGCUAGUUACUUCUAAUGGAUUGAAGCUUAUGAUCACAAGGCUUGAACCCAUUCAAUCCACUCUGUCAGUCAUUGUUAUAUCAUCUGUUUUAUUGACUUUCUGUAAUAUUGGCCUGUGCAGAGAGAACGGGUUUUCAUAAGGACUCCCUGGAGACCUAGAUUCAAAUAUUCUAGGUUAUAUAAUUAGCACCUUGUCUUCUUCCUUCGAAAGGAAAAGGAAAGGAAAAAAUUAACUGCUAUCAGUUAUAGCGACGAUUUUUUUCCUUGUUUGGACAGUUUAUUCAUCUGUGUGACUUGGCUUGCACAGCUAAUGUUCCUGCUGUGCCAUGCUACUGCAAGAUUCCAAUGCAACAAUUGAGAGAAGAGGCCGUUAAUGAGUUCCUGUUGAAAAGUGUCUCACAUUCUAUUUUUGAGUCAAUUGAAAAGUUAUAAAUAGUUUCCAAGUAGAAAAUAUUUUUGUAAGUGGGUUUACUAUUAUUAUAAAGGAAAUACCCUGUUAUGAGAUGUUCUUUUAGGAAAAGGCAUUUUGACAAUUAUACACUUAGUUUCCUAUAUGGAAUCUUCCUAUGUAAUUAGGAAGAGAUUUUGACCAAAACAAGGAGUUUUUUUGGGUAUAAUUGGGACUUUGGGAUUUGAGAGCUUUGGUUUGUAAUUUCCUUCAAUAAUAGUGGAAGUUCUUCUUGGUCUUCGCCUGUAGAUGAAGGCUUGAGGCCGAACCACCUAAAUCGUUGUGUAUUUCAUAUGUUUUGUUUUGGUUCUCUCAUUCUUUUCUCCCUAUUAUUA